CACUUUCUGAGCACGUAAAGAACUCAGAACUCAAUUUUCAUUACUUCCUAAUCGCCUAUCUACCCCGUCUAUAUUAGGACGAUAAACAAGAUAUCAUCAUUCUCUGUUUCUCACAAGGGCCAAGGUGAGAACUAAAGUGGUGACAACCACGCGGGCCGGCCAGAUCAGAUGCAUUAGUGACAUCGGGCUAGGUGGGGGUAGGUAUGUGGAAAUUGGAUCGAGAAUGGUAGGUUGACUGAAGAUCAGUUGAGGAUCUUUCAUGUCCGGCUAAACUCUUUGUCGGUUUCCAUAGUGUUUACUCCGUAUGCAGCGAUACAGGGAAUCGAGAAUGAAACUUGUCCUUUUCAAUCGGUAGAUCCUGCCAAGUAGCGUGGCGACUAUGCAGAAGGAAAGUAUAUUCCAGAGAUUAGAAGCGUAUGUCUGUAAACUAGUCCGUAGCCACAUAACCAACCGCAGAUGGAUAAAAUUUCAAAAUGUCAAACUACACAUCAAAAUUCUGUAACGGAGUUGUAUUCCGUGGUCAGUAUCGUAUUCUCCAGAGAACAAAAAACUCAAUAUUUUCACGAUUUGAUCUGUUUAUAGAAAAUCACCGGGACCAUGCGAGGUGCCGAGCCUUUAGGGCAGAUUGGCGUCAGGGAGGCACUUCCGCGAAAGCCUAAGGGUCCCCGGUCAUGUUAGUUUGGCGACCAAGCCAGAUCACUUUGACAAGGGAUAAGGCCUCGGUCUGCGGAAAUUUUCCUGUUUUUAUGAUUUUGUUAAAUGAUACGAUUAUUAGAAUAAUUGGCUCUUUUCGAUGUAGCGUGUCAUACACAUGGCGCAGCCGCCCCUGCAACUUUUCUUCUUCUGUUUCGGCGUUUACCAGAACGGCGACAACAAGGAUUGAUGUUCGACAGGCACACAUUGGAUCUUAGCGAGAACCUCUUAAUUCUGCAUCCGUUAAUAUGCAUACGGAGUACUCCGUACUA
rnacentral:lncRNA from 1 species